AGUAGGCGCGAGUGGGCGGAGCACCGCGUAAAGUGAAGGCAGGGAGGAGCAAGUAGGCGCAACCAGGGAAAGAAACUCAACCUCGACCCCGACUGGCAGUGCCUCACCUUCCGCUCAGCAAAUACAACUUCCCCAUACCUAACAUCCUAGAUGAACACUGAAAACUACCCAACCUCUAGGAAGAUUUCACCAGUAACGGCUCUCACUAAUGAACGCUGGAUUCGGAUUACUUUACUGAAUUGUUCACCAUCAUGACAAUUAUACCCAGUAUGCGCGUGUGAAGAAAAUGAGACAAAUAUAAUUAUUUCCCUGUUCUAAAUAAAAGUGAAUCGUGUUAUUGGAGGAUAAA